ACACCUCAACUCUCAUGGUCUUCCAUGAUGAGCUUGGACUUUGGGGGUUUGCUGGCCCUGCGGCCGGCUCCUCUCAAAUGAAUCAGCUUGCCAGUGUUUGGUGGCAUCACGGGUGUGAUAACUAUCUACGCUCGCGGUCGUCUGCCAGGUAACCCUCAGCGAUGAGGGUUCAUUGGAGCUCAUAAACGUCUCUCCUCAGCGAAGACAGCUUUUCUGAC
rnacentral:misc_RNA from 1 species